rnacentral:rRNA from 1 species
UACAGAGGUCUCAAGCGUUGUUCGGAUUCAUUGGGCGUAAAGAGCGCGUAGGCGGUCCGAUAAGUCGGCUGUGAAAGUCAAGGGCUCAACCCUUGAAAGCCGGCCGAUACUGUCGGACUAGAGUCCGGAAGAGGCGAGCGGAAUUCCUGGUGUAGCGGUGGAAUGCGCAGAUAUCAGGAAGAACACCCGUGGCGAAGGCGGCUCUCUGGGACGGUACUGACGCUGAGACGCGAAAGCGUGGGGAGCGAACAGG